rnacentral:rRNA from 1 species
CAGUAGCCGCGGUAAAACGGAGGGGGCUAGCAUUGUUCGGAAUUACUGGGCGUAAAGCGCACGUAGGCGGCUUUGUAAGUUAGAGGUGAAAGCCUGGGGCUCAACUCCAGAAUUGCCUUUAAGACUGCAUCGCUUGAACGUCGGAGAGGUGAGUGGAAUUCCGAGUGUAGAGGUGAAAUUCGUAGAUAUUCGGAAGAACACCAGUGGCGAAGGCGGCUCACUGGACGACUGUUGACGCUGAGGUGCGAAAGCGUGGGGAGCAAACAGGAUUAGAUACCCCCGUAGUCCCUGUCUCUUAUAC